UACGUAGGGUGCGAGCGUUGUCCGGACUUAUUGGGCGUAAAGAGCUUGUAGGCGGUUUGUCGCGUCUGCUGUGAAAAUCCGGGGCUCAACCCCGGACUUGCAGUGGGUACGGGCAGACUAGAGUGUGGUAGGGGAGACUGGAAUUCCUGGUGUAGCGGUGAAAUGCGCAGAUAUCAGGAGGAACACCGAUGGCGAAGGCAGGUCUCUGGGCCACUACUGACGCUGAGAAGCGAAAGCAUGGGGAGCGAACAGG
rnacentral:rRNA from 1 species